UGUCUCUUGUGUCCCUGGGUAGCGUCACUUCCUGCCCUGUCCUGUGAUUGCCUGAUUGUUUCCACCUGUGUCCAAUCACCUGCACCUCCCUAGUGUAUUUAAGCCCUGUGUGCCUGUUGUCCCCUGUCGCGUCAUUGUUUCCUGUCACCUGGUCAGGUUGGUCUGUCGGUUAUGUUUGGUAAUUAUUAAAGAGCACUUUAUUUCUUGGAAAUCUGUGUUUGAGUCCUCCCUGCCUGCCUUUGACCUGCACCCUCUCCUGACAGGAUCCAAGCUUUACAGGCCAACAAAACAGUCCAUGAGAAUAUCUGCCUCGACUUAAAUAAAAGAGGAGAGCCAUUUUUGGGAGACGGAUGCUGGCAGACAGAGAUGCACAAAAUGAGGCGCAAGAUGCAGGACAAGGAGACAAAGAAAUAAGAGAGAAAAGAAGAAAAAGGAGACCAUGCAUGACACCAGUGAGAACACCUUCCUUCAUCUCCCCCUCCAUCCUACUUCAUCCAUCUCCCCCCCUCCCCCUCCGCUACCACCCACGCUUCACAGUGCUAAAGACCCCCUCCCACUCCCUCGCCCAGACAUGGACCCGCCUCCUCAUUCAUUGGUUAUCUGAACCGCCAUCAGAUAGAACCACCAUCCACAGAAGCCUGUGAAGAGGGAAAGCACAGACUUUCUGAAAAGGGUCACGGCAGUGGUCAGAACCAGGGUCCAGAUGGAACUAAGAUCUACAGCAACCUGCGAGGCGAGAAAGCACAAAAAACUCCUGGAAAUAAGCUGAAUAAGUGAUAUGCAUUAAUAAAAUGCAUCAGUGAUGGUUCUUUGUAGAACCACACUGCCUUCUAAAGAACCAUUGAAGAACCUUUUUAUGUGUGUAAGGUCCUGUCUGAAGAUGAAUCAGAUUUUUGGUAUUUGAUUGUAACUCAUUUUUUUCUUAAUCAGGACCAACUUUCACCUUGGGUUGCAACUUAAAUAAUUCUUCAUACAUUAAUACUCUGACGACGCCUUCCCGUAAAUUCCUCUUCCAUUGCACCUCAGAAUGUUUCGCUGGUCACGUCUAACGAUUUCCUGAAGGCACCACUGAUUGCAGUCAGCGAGCAUUGUGAGAGCAAGUUAUCACAAGAGGUGUAGAUGCAUAAUUAGUACAAGUGUGUAUGCUUGAGUGAAGAUUAGCAUGCUAUUGUUAUAUAAAGGAAGAAAAAAAAAAGAGAGCCAUGUUCUUAUAUAACUGCCCAUGAAAAGCAAACCAGUCACUUCACAGACAUAAAUCUACUGAACAUCGGAGUCAUUCAAUGAGUUCUUAUGUUGACUUAAUGCAGUGGCUUUCAAACUAUGGGAAACGACCCUUACAGGUGUGGCUCAAGGGGGAAUUCCGAAUUCUUUUACUUCAGGAACUUUGAGAACUGAGAAGAAUUGAGAUCCUACAAAAGUACACGCGCUGUGCCCUCAAAACAAAACACAUAUCCAAGCUCCACAUUGAAAAUGUAUUCAGUGGCUGCAUCACGUCCCCAACCCUGUUUUGAAACAGUUUGUAGAGGAAAGCAGUCAUAGCCACUGAUAAAAUGUUUCAUCAGUAUGAGAUGGUCCAUACA